CUUGUGUCAGUCAUAUUGUCCAUGCUUCUAUUUUGUACACACAGUUGAUGUAUCGUUGUGCGCAUUGGAUAAUUUCAGGUCCUUGAAUCACAUUGUUGUUUUUCUAUUAUUGGACAUGGUGGCGAUUAUCGCACUAGAUUAGAAAACGUUUCCCAAAGAUUGUAGUCGAAUUUCGUCUUGUAAAAUGGGCCAAUCCACGAGGGGACCAUUUCGGCUGUACGUGUUCUAUUUGAAUGGAAGUGGAAAGCUCAUCCGAUACAGCCAUUGUAACUGAUUUUUCAUGUACGAAUAGCUUCAUGUUAAAGAGAUUGACGAUGAUCCCGUAACGUUGUGACAGAUAUGCGCAGAUUAGACACUGGUGCCUGCAUUUAAUUCCUGUUCCAAUACAUGUUUUUUUUUA